UUAAGAGGUGAGUACGGAACA
rnacentral:piRNA from 1 species